UACAGAGGGUGCGAGCGUUGUCCGGAAUCACUGGGCGUAAAGGGCGCGUAGGUGGCUUCGUAAGUCCGUUGUGAAAGUCAAAGGCUCAACCUUUGAAAGCCGAUGGAUACUGCGGAGCUAGAGUACGGAAGAGGCGAGUGGAAUUCCUGGUGUAGCGGUGGAAUGCGCAGAUAUCAGGAGGAACACCAAUAGCGAAGGCAGCUCGCUGGGACGUUACUGACACUGGAGGCGCGAAAGCGUGGGGAGCGAACAGG
rnacentral:rRNA from 1 species